UCUUCAGAAAGUAUCGAAAAUAUCUUCCCAAGAUCAUAUUGAUCAACAGGCGUUGGAAUGACCUUAAGCUUUGAUUUAUAAAAUUCCUGAUUAAGGACAUAAGCAUCAUCAGAUAAGCUGGAAGCAAAUCCAAAAACAAUAGACUUUUUGAAGGUUUUGGGAUCUAAAAGCCCUGGGAAGUAUAUUGAUCUUUCUUCAUAG
rnacentral:sRNA from 1 species